GGCCUGUCUGAGGCGGCGCAGCGUAGAGUCAAUAUCAGCCUCAUCGCCAUCUGGAGGAAGAUCAUCCUCUUCAUCCCAGGACCAGGUGUCAGGAUCUCCAGAGGAAGAGCACCAUCCCAGACUCCCCGUCUUUGGAGAAAGUGCAGCCACUCUGCUGUAAACACCAGAGGGUGCUGGGAUUCGGGAACCAGGACCUCCUGGACAUUGCGGCCACCCAAAGCUAGACACUUGAGGGCCAGGCGGGGACAGCGCGUGGAGAAUGGCACCACUUGCAGGUAGAAGUCAUUGCUUCUUAAGAGCCUCCAGUCAAGAGUAGAAAGCUGGACCACCACCUUCUCGCCCAAACACAGAGGCCAACCCGAGUGCAGGAACAAACAGCCCAAAUACUGAGACUGAAAAAGAGAGAGUGCUGUAACAAAACUGGCUUUCAAAUGUUUGAGUCCACUACCAAGAAUUCCUGUUUUUUUAAUCAAUAAUUUAAAAAAUUUACUCUCUGGAUAUGUAUAAUCAUCUUUUUUUAUAGUAUUACUAUUACUAUACUAUUUAUACUAUACUUACUAUACUAUUUCAGUAAAAAGUAAACCUUUUAACACCAUGGAACAUAAUUUAAUCAUGUUCGAAAAAUAUAAGUGGUGAGAAAUAUGGUUCUGGACCCACCAGAAAUAUCAGCACAUGUUUAAUAGACACAUUUAGAGAUUUAGUGCAUCUUCAACUUUUUGUUCCAUCUUACUUUCCAGUAAAUUUGCUUUGAACCAGUUUACCAGGAGAAACUUUUUAAAAGCGAGAACCCAGCACUCAAAAAAUAACCACAAAUAAAACAAGCUCUUGUGUCCCAAAGCUAAAUUCACCUAACAUCAUUACCAUUAUGACCCAUCAUCCACCUUUUCUCCAUUCUUGUGUCCUGUUAAAGAUCCUUCUCUUCAAUCACUAUAAGCAACCUAAGUUCUGCUGGAUUCUCAGUUUACUUCAAGUUUAAUUAUCCAGUGACAUACUCCCCUGCUCUCCAACCUUCUCCGUCAUUUCACACACUCAUAAGACCAAAUUAUAUUAUGGAACACACACAGCUCCACUUUCAUUUACUCUUCCCUCUGUCUUCUUCUGUCCAACUCCACCCUUCUCUUUAGAGCUGUAUUUUAUAUCAUUCUUUCUUAGUCAUUUUGUGAGACAUAAAAAAAAAUAUUCAGUGGAAACUUUCCACUUCAAUAGUCAUUUUAUUUGAAUCCAUCUAUUAAGUUUCCUCUACUACACUCUCUAUCUGCCUCAGCGCCUCAGUCCCACUUUCUCAAUGUGUGCCUUAGUAUUCUGUUACUUUAUCCCUCCCCCUAUUUCUCAAUAAAUCCUCUAUAGCCCCAGACUCCUCUCUCUCUCUCAUUCUCUUUUUGCUCCCUUUUCCCUUUUUAACUUCUUUCUCACACAAGUAGCAGCCAAGCCCCCUUUCCUUCACCACCCCCUUCUCUCUUAGACACACAUAUGGUAAGAAUUAUAGCAUGACUCAUAGCUCGUGUCCCAGUCAGUUCCUCAUAGCGACAAUGAAAACAGAGCCAGCAGAAAAUGUGUGUGAGAGAAUUUUGGUGUAUGAAUGAAUAAAAUAUACUCAUAUGUAAUCAUACAGUGGUGUGUGUGUGUAUCUGUGUGAAAGCAUGAGGAAAAAUAUGUGUAUGUUUAGUGUAAGAAUGUAUAUCAGUAUGUUGUUGAGUAAGACACACUGUUUAAAACAUUACCAUGAAUGAUCACAGAGUGAAUAUCUGAAAAUACAGACAGAGAGAAGAGAGAAUAUGCGGCUUACAAGAAAACCACAUCAGGAUUCAAUGAGUGAAUAAGCGACUUUGUGAAUGAGACAGCAUAUACAUUAUGUUUAAUGAAUGAAACAGGACAGUCAUUGAUUAUAUCCUUAUAACAGCACGCCCCAACGUGUUUUAUUCCUCUUAUACUGCAGCAAUUUGCCAAUGAUUACAUUUAUUUAUUUGUCAGUGAAUGACUGUUUUAGUUACAUUUUGUUGUGGAACGUCCACAAGACAAAUUAGUUCCUGUUAUCAUUUACGUCACGCAGCUAUAAACAGUCGUUCCCUCUCCAGACUCAUUUUUUUUCUCUCGUUAUUUUAGACAAAAAUUGCAGAGAAACCGGAAAGUCCUCUGUCCUGAAAACUCUCCUUUGGCAAAAACAUACUGUUCCAAAGUGCUGAUGUGGUGACUCUUUCUACUAAAACUGAAUUUAAGCAGCCCUUUGCUAUAUGAAUGAAGCAAUUUACUAUUGUUGGGUGAGUGUGCAUACUUACACAAGCAUGCUGCUGGAGUCUGUGUAGAAGAUGUUUGGCCGGGAUGAAGAAAUCCAGCAGAUACCUUAAACUGUCAUGCUGAUAGGUGGACUCCAAUACAGAAAAAACCUGAAGACACACACAGACAACUGAUAUCGUAAAAAUGGUACUAAGAAGAAGAAAAGAAGAUAUAAAAUGUAAAACAUUGCAUGAUUUAGAGCAGAUGUAUUGAAUUCAUUCUUUGGACGCCUAAACUGCACAUCUGUAUUCUUAAUCAACUCCUGCAGUUCUAUUUGAUGUUAUACCAGAACUAUCUACUUUAAAGUGCGUUGAUAAUACUGGCGCUAAUGAAAAAUUGCAUGAUUUUUCCAACACUUGAUUUUUAAAAUUCUUUUUCCAAUACUUUUCCAGGUGUGGAAAAAAAUGAAAUGUAAUUUCCUGUGAUGGUUCCAGAAUUUCCACAACCAUGGAGUCCCUGAGAGAACCACUGACCUGGGAUAGAAGAGGGGGUGCAGUGCUCUCAAAUGGGGGAUAGAGGGAGGAGAGCGCCCCCUGCACACAGUCCUCCACCGCCUCCGAACCCUGGGAUAAAGCGAACAAGAAAAUGAAGAUUAAAAAAUAUUAGUGCUUGAUAACUCAGCCUCUGCACAAAGGCCUUCUGUAUGUGGGCACACAACUACCAGCACUGUGGCAGACAAAACAAGCACACCAAACUAUGUGCUGGACUCAACAGCUUAAAGACACACCACCAUAUAACUGGAGUUUCCUUGGAUUGUCUCUGGAUCACAUUGUUUCUGCUGGAAUCAGACUGUACAGUCUGCUGAAUCGCUCGAAAGGAAGAGAAAGGGGAAACGCUUGAAAUGACUAGGGCAUGAGACACAGUUGCAAAAUUUAUUUUGAUAUUAUUAGUCUAGUAUUAAGUACUGAUGAAAUUGUCUGAUAUCUUAUGUAAGUGUUAUGAGGAAAUCUGACCUAUUGAUUACUGCUAUUAUUACUUGAUCCAAACCUGCAUCCAUUAAGUUUAAUGAUUAUUUCUACACUAAACAGCAAUAGUAAGUGCUAUAUAUAAAUACUGUUUAUGCAUUACCAAUAAUUAGAUUUUUUUUAAAUCAUCAUUUCAGUAAGAAAAUAAUUUUUUCCUACUGUAUGUGUUUCUUUUUUUUUUUUUUUUUUUUUUUUGUGGUGGCCUGGAGUUACCAGCGUUUAAUAUGCUUAAACUCUCCUUUUUUUUUUUUUUUUUUCCCCAGAUACAUACAUUAUGAAGAAAACAUAAUAUAAAAAACAUAAUUUGACCAUAUGUAGGGUUUAUCCAGACCACGACCACCACAUAUAUUUUACCUGCUUCAAUUUUAUUUUGUGCUGAAAGAGAAAGCAAAAUAGAAAAAAAUAUUCUCUAGAGAGCUAUUGCCCUUUUCAUGCAAUGUGCAUUGUAUUUUGCUUGAGCUUUGUGGUUGAAAUGGCUCCUCUGUUUGAGUUGUUAGUUUUACUGCCACUGCAUUUUUCAAGUUGAAUGAUAAACAGUCAGAUCGGCAUUGAGCGGGACAAUAAUUUGUCAUGUGUCCCCUUUGACACAAAAGUGCCUUUUAAAAGCUCAAAACAACUUAUUCAAUAGGCUGAAAGUGCAGAGAGUACUCUAUUAAUAAAUAGUCAGGUUGAGGGUUAGAUAUUCGCAAAGUUAUUGUUAUACUGUAUUAUCUCUCUGCUAUAAUAAAUUG